AGAAGUCCCGGCACCGGAGGGAAAUCCGGGCCUCUCCCUCCGCGCUGCGGAGGGGCCGCGGUCCCGUUUCCGCGGGGGAUGCUCCCGCUGACGCCCAGCGUUGGAGAAGGAGAUGCUCCAGACGAGUAAUUACAGCCUGGUGCUGUCCCUGCAGUUCCUGCUCCUCUUCUACGACCUGUUCGUCAACUCCUUCUCCGAGCUACUGCGCGUGGCUCCCGUCGUCCAGCUGGUGCUCUUCAUCAUCCAAGAUAUCGCCACCCUCUUCAACGUCAUCAUCCUUUUCCUCAUGUUCUUCAAUACCUUCGUCUUCCAGGCCGGCCUGGUCAGUCUCCUCUUUCGUAAAUUCAAGGGGACCAUCGUCUUGGCGGCCACAUACCUAGCUCUGAGCAUCUCCUUCCACGUCUGGGUCAUGAAUUUGCGCUGGAAAAACUCCAAUCGUUUCAUUUGGACCGAUGGACUCCAAGCCCUGUUUGUGUUCCAGAGACUGGCAGCUGUACUGUACUACUACUUCUACAAAAGGACAGCUGUGCGCCUGGGCGACCCCCGCUUCUACCAGGACUCUCUGUGGCUACGCAAGGAGUUCACACAGGUCCGCGGCUGAGCCCUCUCCCUCCGGACAGGUGGACUUCCUGCCCAGCCACAGCCUCCCAAGAGCGAUCGGCCGGCCUGGACCUUAACACCGAGGUGAACGAUCUGGGUCCACCCGAAAGAGUCCCCCAGAAUUAGGUGGGCAAAACGCAGCACCGAACUGUGGCUCGGAAUCCCUCCAGCCGCUCCCGGAAGAGGGCCGGCCACAGUGAGUAGGAUCCCCGGCAAGUGAGAGGACGGUAGCCCGACCUGACUUUCGACAGCUUAACCUGCUUGCGAAAGGUAAUCAGAGGAACUCGGGACCCUCCUUUGUGUCCGCCUGGGGUGUUGGCUCUCAGCAAGAAGCCUUAUCAACCUCAGGAGGAAACCAGAUAGCCGCUCGCAGAGCGAAAAGUUUUAAAGAACCAAGCCAUUCGGGUUCCAAAAAGGUACCUAAUCUGUCAGUCUCGUGUCCUUUGGGAUGCUAUCUCGUUCUUCAUCCUCCGACCCACACCCCCUGGCAGGAAACGCUUCCCUAGCUGUGAGGCGCUGGAGUACGGAGAAGCGGAGGCCAGCUCUGGCGGUCCGUUGGAGCAGGAGAAUUUCUGGGGAUACAGGGACGCUCUCCAAAUGGAUCAAUCAGUGAUAUUUAUCGAGCGCUUACCCCGGGCGGAGCUCUGUACGAAGCUCCUGGGAGGGUACAGUACAACAGAAUUAGCGGACACGUUCCCCGCCUUAAUGAGCUUAAGGAAUCUAGAAGGAUAACUGGAUUUCCCCGGUGGCCUGAGGUGAGGCGGGGGAGGCGGACAGGGGGAAGGAAAGCCAGCCGCGGGGAGUGAACCCCAGCACCAAUGAGGUCCCCAAUCAGCUCUCGUACUGGUCCUCCUGCCUCUCCACCCCAAGACGCCGCGCCCCACACGGCACUUACCGUCUAAGACGGAGGGAGAACGGCGAUUGAAUCCCCGUUAGAUGAGGAAACUGAGGCCCGGAGAAAUGGAGUGAUUUG